UACGUAGGGGGCGAGCGUUGUCCGGAAUAACUGGGCGUAAAGGGUGCGUAGGCGGCCUUGUAAGUCAGAUGUGAAAUACCCUUGCUUAACGAGGGAGGGUCAUUUGAAACUGCAAGGCUAGAGUGCAGGAGAGGAAAGCGGAAUUCCUAGUGUAGCGGUAAAAUGCAUAGAUAUUAGGAGGAACACCAGUGGCGAAGGCGGCUUUCUGGACUGAAACUGACGCUGAGGCACGAAAGCGUGGGGAGCAAACAGG
rnacentral:rRNA from 1 species